rnacentral:rRNA from 1 species
UACGUAGGUGGCAAGCGUUAUUCGGAAUUACUGGGCUUAAAGGGUGCGUAGGCGGCGCGGUAAGUUGGGUGUGAAAUCCCUCGGCUCAACCGAGGAAUUGCGCUUGAUACUGCCGUGCUCGAGGGAGACAGAGGUGAGCGGAACUUAGGGUGGAGCGGUGAAAUGCGUUGAUAUCCUAAGGAACACCAGUGGCGAAAGCGGCUCACUGGGUCUCUUCUGACGCUGAGGAGCGAAAGCGUGGGGAGCGAACAGG